UACGUAGGGUGCAAGCGUUGUCCGGAAUUAUUGGGCGUAAAGAGCUCGUAGGCGGUUUGUCGCGUCUGCUGUGAAAACUCGGGGCUUAACCCCGGGCCUGCAGUGGGUACGGGCAGACUAGAGUGCGGUAGGGGAGACUGGAAUUCCUGGUGUAGCGGUGAAAUGCGCAGAUAUCAGGAGGAACACCCGUAGCGAAGGCGGCACUCUGGGCCGGAACUGACGCUGAGGAGCGAAAGCGUGGGGAGCGAACAGG
rnacentral:rRNA from 1 species